ACGGAAAGGAAGUCCAAGUUGUCAGAUUCUCUUGUUGAAAGAUUUGUUCAAUAAGAAUGUUGUCAUGUGUUGAAAGCUUUUCAACAAAACUUUUUUGUUGUACCAUGGCAUAUCGGCAAAAAGUAUUACACGUUCAAAGAUUUCAAUCUCCUUGGCCACCGUUGGCGACAUAGUGAACCAAAUGGGAAACCCGUAGAUGAGGACCGAUCUGAUUGCAACUUUAUAAAUUAGAAGUUUUGUCCUUAUUGAUGGUAGGUGGAAGAAUAUCACAGGAUGCAGCUUCAAGGUCUCUACGAAAUAAGUCCCAAUUGGUGUUUUUGUAAGAUGUUAUUACUGACGGAUUUCUAAGAUGUAGAUUUCCUGAUCCGAAUUCCAGUUUUAAAUUCAGUGGAAAAUGAUCUGAAAAAGUUGGAAGACUUUUGACUUGAUAAUUAGGAUGUAGACUGUCUAUUAUGUUCGUGCUUAAUAAUAAGUGGUCAAGGUAGGACGAACCAUUGGGAUAGGAAGGGGAUACAUCGCAAACUCGUUUCACGUCUAAACAAUUACCUUGUAA